UAUUAGCCAUUAGCCAUUAUUUUACAACUAUGACAGCUCGACUAUUACAGAGAUAAUACAUAAAAUAACAUUAUACAUUAAACAUUAUAAUACAUAUUAAAUAAUAAAGCCAGCAUCCAAUAUAAAGGUAAUUAUUAAUUUAAUGGCGGUAGUAGAUUUUGUAUUAAGUAUGGAGUGGAUAUUUAAGGGGAUAUCAAGAGUCUUAAGUUCAUUAACUAAAAAGAGUGAACACUUAUUUCAAAUGUUUUCAUAAUAUGUACAUUAACACUAGAGACAUUUCUAUGAGAUUAAUGUUAUCUGUAGACCGUAUUCGAUACGUCAAUAUAUUUUAUUCUACAAGAAUUUGGGAAAACCAGUUCAAAUUAUCACUAUUCCCCGAACGUUGUACACAAUUUCACUGUACACUAUAAGUCUAUAAAUAACCUACUAAUCACCGUUCACGCAUACCGAAUACGGUAUACGCAUAAUCUAAUUAUAUUUAUAUAAUAAUUUAUAGUAUGUGAUUAUUAAUUAGCGAUUACUGAUUAAUGAUAAGUGAUAAUUAAUUGUUUGCUUCAUAAUUUGUGUUGUUACUUGUUGAUUUAUGUUUGUUCUCAUUGUUCAAAAUAUUUUAUGUUCUAAUUUAUAAUAUAUUAAAAUAAUGAAGCCAAAAGAAAUCAAAAAAAGGUGGUACACAAAAGUAGAAAUCGAUGGAUCUGAAAAAUAUGUGUGCCGAUAUUGUAAUAAAAAUUAUAAAGAAAAUGUAACGAGAAUGACAAUGCACAUUAAAAACGAAUGUAAAGAUGUUCCACAAGAAGUUUCAAAGUGUUUAUUGUCACCUAACAAAUCAAGGUUUAACAAUAAACCAUUUGCAUGAAUUAUUAUCAAGAGCCAUAUUUACAUCUGCUACACCAUUCUCAAUUGUGGAAAAUCAGAACUGGUUAAAAUUUUUGAAACAAUCCACCAUCAAGAAAAACAGUAUCAACUACUCUAUUGGAAAAAGAAUAUUUAAGAACUUAUAACAAAGUAUAUGAAAACAUUUUAGAAGCCAAAGUGAAUGCAGUACAGUUAGAUGGUUGGAUCAAUAUAAGAAAUGAAUCAAUAAUGAACAUAAUAGUAACAACUCCUAAACCAUUCAUAUUUAAGUCAAUUGAAUCUGGCUUUAACCGCCAUACUGCUGAAUACAUUUCUGCUGUAAUAAGUUCUGUAAUUGAUGAGUUGGGUAAAGAGAAAUGUCUAGGCGUUAUAACUGAUAAUGCAAGUAAUAUGAAAAAAGCUUGGAAAUCAUUACAAGCUGAUGAAAAAUUCAAAAGUUUACUUAUAGCUUAUUAUUCAUGUAUAUCACAUGCCUUCAACUUGUUAAUGUUAGAUGUUGUGAAAGUGAAAACAUGUUUUGAGAUUGAAAACAUAUCCAAAGCUAUUACUAAAAAUAUUAUUAGC